UAAGGUGGUUAUAGCGAUGGGGCUCACCUCUUACCAUUCCGAACAGAGAAGUUAAGCCCAUCAGCGCAGAUGGUACUGGGAAACCGGGAGAGUAUGUCGCCGCCUUCU
rnacentral:rRNA from 1 species